AUUCAUUUCUUCCCUGCCUGACUGUUUCCAAAUAGCUGGUUUUCCUGUCAGCUGGCACUCCGGCUAUGAACCGGCUAAUGAAGAGGUUGGCUAAAUCUCCAAAGCUCCUAAUACUUCCGGCUUCCAGACUGUUGAACCACGCCCGUGCUGGCCCCAUGAGCGUCGUAGGGAAUACCUUGCACAUCAAGGCAUCCGAUAGGGUCUGCAGCUCCAUGAAGGUCUUGUAGUUAAGGACAUGCUCCCUUGGGUUUCCAGCUCCGUCGUAUGCUGCCAUAGGUGGCAUCAUGAACUUUUUGGGGAUGGUCUCUUGCUGCACCCAUCUUGAAAAGGGCGAGGAUGC
rnacentral:lncRNA from 1 species